rnacentral:misc_RNA from 1 species
GCGAAGCAACAAGUAAGCAUCGCAUCGCAUAGCAAGCAUCGCAACGCAUCGCAUCGCACUGCAGCAAGUUGAGAUUCAGAUACUCCGGUUUCGCGUUCAGUUUUCUGUUGAUUUACAUCGAAUCCGAAAGGCGAAAAGUGUGUGCUCGAAAACCGAAGCCGACAAGUGCUCAUACAGCCUUACCCAGUGAAAGAGCAGGGUUUUCCGCGUGGAAAAGGCCGCACAAACGCGACCUGCAACCUGUGACCUGUAACCUGUAACCUGUAACCUGUAAACUGUGACCCCUGCAACACAACCAAUCCGUGCCGGUCGGUGCCCAGCACUGAAAAUCGAACGCAGCGCAAAGUUCCCCGCCGAAAAACAACAAACAGAAUUACGAAAAUAUCCAAUCAGAUACCCAAUCAAUCGCAACAACUGCGGCCAAGCAACUUACAAACUAGGAACCCAAGCUGUGUUAACCCAAGUACUUAAGAGCAAACAACAGUACUUAAAGCAAACAUUCGACUUUAUAAGAAACACAAUAAUUAGAAACCCAAACAACCGACUUCUUUCUCCGCGGCCAAAGCAGAGCAACACCCAGCAGAAAGGCUUCAGCUAUGAAGAAGCUGUCACUAAAUAUGUGUUCCCGCAACAUUAAGAUCUCGGUGGUGCUGUUUCUCGUCCUGAUACCAAUCUUCGCCGCCUUGCCACACAACCACAACCUGUCGAAGCGCAGCAACUUCUUCGACCUGGAGUGCAAGGGCAUCUUCAACAAGACCAUGUUCUUCCGACUGGACCGCAUCUGCGAGGACUGCUACCAGUUGUUCCGCGAGACGAGUAUACACCGAUUAUGCAAGAAAGACUGCUUUGAUUCAAAAUGGUUUGGCGAGUGCCUGAAAGUGCUGUUAAUACCCGAAGAGGAAAUAUCCAACCUCCAGCACUUUCUGAGAGUAGUGAACGGCUCGCCCAUAUCCUUCAACAUGGGGCCGCAAACAUAACUCUAAGUCCCGCCCACACACCCACACCCACACCCACACCACCCACCACACACCAUACAGCACACACCACACACAGUUGAGAAUCGCUGCGAACAUCGUGGGUUGGAACGGGCAUCCGAGUCCAGAUCCAGAUGCAGUCCCACUACGACCACAAAUGCAGAGCCAGAACACAGAAAUCUAAAAUAUUAAAACGCCCAAAUUUAAUUCGUACUUAUUUAUUACUGUAUGCCUUACAGUUUUUACUAUAUGUGUUUUUUUAAAAACGAAUUAUUUUUAUUAAUUUAUUGAGAACGUUAUGCGUUUGUUGUAAGUAACAUAAUCGGGGAGUGAGAGAUGGGCGAUGUUGAUGAUGAUGAUGAUAAUAAUGAUGAGGAUGAUAAUGAUGAUGAUAAGGUGGAGGAUCGCAGAUCUCGCACUCCCCAAAUAUACAUAGAAGCCGAAGUAUUUAUUUUUAAGUAUUCUUAGCUUGUUUUAUUAUUAUUGCGUUAUGCGGUUUGUAUAUAAAAUAAACAAAACGAAAUCCAUUGUUUUUAAUCUAUGUAAUGUAAAAUGAUAACUUUUAUUUUUGUAUCUGUAUUCUACUGUAAAAUCAGCAUUUAGAGUUUACAUUUUACACGAUUUUCCGCAAGGGCAAACUACAUUGAUAAAGAUAAACCCAUUACGAACACACACCCCCACACACACACACAUACACAUACGCAAUCGAGACCGAAAGUAUUUUGCAAAUGUAUUACACUUACAAUUUUGUGCUAUUUUGUAAAGAUGAAACCCUGAAUAGUGUAAAUCUGUUGGCGCAAAAACGAGAUAUUUGCCUAUAAAGUAUAUGCAUACCUAUCUAAAGCUAAAGCCCUACGUAUGUAUCCGAAUACGAAUACCCUACACACAUGCUUACUAUUAGAGAGAAAAGCAAGAUCGCAAUUUGUGCAAGACACAAACAAAAACCUGGUAAAAACACGCGAAGUACGACUGCAUUACAAAUGCGGCAAUAAAUAAUACAAAUAAACCCCUGUAAAUUAAUAAAGGAUAAUCAUUCGCUGGCUAUUUGAGAGCAUCAAAAUUGUGAUAAAUGAGAAUUUAGAAUGCGAAUGCGCGACGCAGAGCGACCAGAGACCCAGAGACACGAGAAAGUGAUCGCUAUAUCGCUAAAUAGGCGGCGGAGAAUGCCAGAGACACCGCCAGAGAAAGAGAACGCCAUGGAGGAGGCGACAGAGACAGACAGACUGCAGCUGGCGAUUUGCGCGCGUUUCUGGCGCGACUAAAAACGCCUGCUUACCGUUUUUGUUUUGGCAAGAAUGCUUCGGAUCGCCCUUCUUCAACGCCUGCAUAGAGGCUCUUCAGCUGCACGAGGAGAUGGACAAGUAUAACGAAUGGCGC